rnacentral:rRNA from 1 species
AUGAACAAAUGGAAACGUACCCUGGAAGUUGACAGCACCUGCAAUAUUUGUGGCAACGGAGAUGAAGAUGAAUAUCAUGCAGUGAUUUCCUGUACAAAAAGCAAGGCUCUAAGGAGUGAAAUGCGUAAAAUUUGGGAUCUUCCUAGCGAGUUGCAGUUUAGAUACACUGGAGUGGACUGGCUUCAGAAUCUCCUAGGAACUUGCAAUAUGGAAAUGAGGGUCAAAACCUUACUGCUGCUGUGGAGGUGUUGGUUCCUACGUGAUGACUGCAUCCAUAGUACAGGGAAG